AUUGAACGCUGGCGGCAUGCUUUACACAUGCAAGUCGAACGGCAGCGCGGGCUUCGGCCUGGCGGCGAGUGGCGAACGGGUGAGUAAUGCAUCGGAACGUGCCCAGUAGUGGGGGAUAGCCCGGCGAAAGCCGGAUUAAUACCGCAUACGACCUGAGGGUGAAAGCGGGGGGCCGAAAGGCCUCGCGCUAUUGGAGCGGCGGAUGUGGGGUUAGCUAGUUGGUGGGGUAAAGGCUUACCAAGGCGACGAUCCGUAGCUGGUCUGAGAGGGGGAGCGGCCACACGGGAACGGGGACACGGCCCAGACGCCUGCGGGAGGCCGCAGAGGGGAAUGGUGGACAGCGGGGGCAAAUCUGAUCCAGCCAGGCCGCGCGCGGGGAGGAGGCGUUGGGGGUGUGAACCGGUCUUGUGCGGGAAGAAACCCUUUGGGCUAAGACGCCGGGGGGAUGACGGUAACGGAAGAAGAAGCACCGGCUAACUACGUG
rnacentral:rRNA from 1 species